CGGGUGUAGUUCAGUGGUAGAACGUCAGCUUCCCAAGCUGAAUGUCGCCAGUUCGAGUCUGGUCAUCC
rnacentral:tRNA from 1 species